CUCUAACCUCACAGGUGUCCCAGGAAUGUAGGGUUUCCCAUUGCACGCCUCAAAAACACGCUCCUCCCUCUCUUUUACAGAAUCUACGUAGCACUAAUGUGUCUUCACAGCCCACUCGGCCAGCCUGGGCCAAUCAGAGGGAGCCACAGGAAUCGGAGACCUGUGUGUUAUUGAGAACAGCACCUGGCACAAAGGAUGGCCUCAGUCAUCAUCUCUGCUGCCUAAUGUUCUAGGCCUCAGUGUUGGACCACAGAGAGAAAUCCCCUAGGUAUCUCUCAGAUCCAAUUUAAACUGAGAAAAAUCAAAGUAAGCAGCCCUGCAUAGACCAAGAGUCCACACCACACACAUCGCGGUAUUGUCACCUGAACAGACACACCUGCGUAACUCCUUCACCAGUUCCCAUUGCAGAAGAGUGCUAACUGCUUUUCUGUUGCCAGGAUAAAACACCACAGCCAAAGCAUCUUCCAGACAAUUCAGUUUAUUGGGAAUUAUGGUCCCAGAGGAUACAUGUCCACGUUGAUGGGAGCAGCUGCAGCAGCAAGCUGAUGGCACACAUCUUGAAACACAGGCACAAAGCAGAGAGAGCAAACUUGAAAUUCUCCAAGUCUGCCCCCAGUGGCAUGUUUCUCCAGAUAAGACAACUCCUAAACCUUCCCCCAGACAGUGCCACUAACUGGGAACUAAGUCUUCAAACAUUCAAAGCUAUGAGGGCAGGGCACUUCUCAUUCAUGGCACGAAAGAGGUGAGGCCCUGAUCCCAGACAAGAGCCUUUCUCCCCCAGCCCAGUCUCCUGCCUGCCCCAAUCUUGGGGGAAAAUGGUAAUGAUCCACCACCUGGAGCUCAUCUGCUGCAGAAAGGGUCUGGACACAGCUACAGGGAUGACACAGGAACCUCAAGCCAGCAUCACACGGUGUGGUCCUACUGGAAGUGUGAACUACUUCAGGCUCGACAUCUGACAGAGCCAAGUGCGUACCUGGAGCUGUUUCCUUGGUUAGCCAGUAGCACCAUUCAGGGUAACGCAAGGAUAUCUCCUUGUGCAGGGUCCUCUGAACCAUUCUGGGAGGACUUUGGUGUGUGUAUGGAGCAUGGUGGGUGUGUUCACAGGAGUCUUCUGAGGAGAGCUGGGAGCCUCCAGGCUUGAGCCUGUUUCUUGCCUGUGGGCAUCAGCCUAAAUCUUAUGUAUUGAUAUGAGUUUUUAAAAGAAAAAUCCUAUUCUCCAGGCUAACAUUUUUCUUGAGCACAAUGCCUAGAUAAAUCUUAAUUGACAGCCCAUCAAUCUAACUUAGGGAGGCCACCUUAGCUGAAAGGAAUCGCUCCACAGCUGUUUAACCUGUGCUUGCAGGUCAGUUUUUUAACAGGACCCGAAGAGCUGGGUCUGUGUCUGCAUAAUGCAUUUUGCCCUAGGGCACCAGUGGAGAAAUUCUGUGUCAAUCUCAUUAGUGAUGUGGAGCAUCCCAAGCUGAGUCUCAAAGUGUGCUUCUUGGCUGGGUGGCAGGAGGUGUCCCACCCUCAACCAGCACCCACAGAUGAACUGGAGAGGAACUGGGAAGGCAUAGGGUUCCCCCAGCUCCCCUGGCCCUGCCCCUAUGUCCUUGUUCCAAUUGCCAGAACCUGACUGUUUCAUAAGUGGUAUGCCAAAUUUAGUUCUCGAUGUAGGUUGCUGCAGGGUGUCACUGCCGCAGCUCAGCCAGUCCUGUGAUUAACUUCCAGAACAGAUUCUGAGUGGUACCCCAUCCUAUACCUCCAGCAGGAGGGGCAUCAGGAGUAGGCUUGCAUAACCGACCUAAUUUUCCUAGCCACUUUAGCCUGUCAGCCUCAGACUGGAUAUCUCUUGCACGCACCUUGCUGGAACCCCAGGAAGACUCCGACACAAAGCCUGACUUCUCUGUCUCAGCUGCAAAGCAGCCUAAGUUCUUAACCCAGCAGACACCAUUGCACCAGCUAUCUCCAGCUGCAUGUCACUGGCAUCAUCUUCUGUCCCCCAGCAUAGUGGAAUUCUAUUGGCCUCACGUCUCUGACAUAGGUCAGCUGUGAGGUUCUGGGCAGCUUGAUUUCCUAAUGGCAGGCUGCAUCUUAUUCAGAGUUCAUUUUGCUGAAGAUGAACCAGAGGCUACUCCAAACCACUGGACACUAAAGCAAGAAAUUCAUUAAGUUCAGAGAAGUGUCACCAAACAGAACCUGGAAAUCUACCCCAUCCCUUCCUCUUCAAUCUCUUGCUUGUGUAAACCACACACUCCGACUUUGCAUUUAACCCCAUUCUGUAACCCCACUCUGCACUGUCUCCAGCUCAGCCUUUCAGCACACUUAUCCAUGUCUCUUGGUGACAGAGUCAUAGAGGAGGCUCUCUCUAUCCCAAUUUCAAUAUUUCCAGGCUAGAGAACCUGUCUGGGUCAGUUUAGGACAAGUAUAUGUUUUGGCCUCAGAACUUGUAACUCUGCGGGGAUGUGCUGGGGGUGGGAGUAAUGAAGAGCUACUGAAUUCCAUGAAUAUGUGCGCGUGUUCCAUCAAGGUUAGCAACUUAUGAUAAAACAGUACGGUGCUCAUUAACGAAAUGUCAUUGAACAGAAGGCCAUUGCUGGUGGCACAGCACUUAAAUUUAGCUGGACCAAACAAAGCAAGACAGGUGGAACAAGAGCAGUGUCUGCCUAAAUGGAGAGUUACUUCUGGAGAGUUCCCUGAGAAAUGCCAGAGCUGACUGAGUGGGGGGAGGGGGAAGUGAGCCCACCUUCCUCAGCCAGCAUUUCUAUGUGCUGUGUGCUUUCGUUUGAAGGGAACAUUCUAGAACUCAUGAGCUGGAGUCAGUUCUGAUGCAUUCCUUCGCUGGCUUGUUCAGGAUUUCAGAGAGACCAGGGGGGUUAGGGUAGGAGGCCAACUGGAACUCCUCCCUACCAGGUGCAUACAAUCCAGAGUCCAUGAACUGUAUGCAUCCCAAGGCAGCUAUGGAUGUGGUCCAAUACAUUCAUGUAUGACAACAUCACAUUGCAAUGUCAAAAGGUUGGAUGCCCCUGCUAGACUAAAUGUUUAUAGACAGUAAGGACCCAGAAGUCCAUGAAAGGAAAAUGCAGGAGAAACACACACAACCCCUCAUAGUGGUUGCUGAACAGCCUCUUCAACCUUCCUCCACCUUCCUGUGCAGAUAAGGGUCUGUCCUACUCUGUUCA